rnacentral:rRNA from 1 species
GACGAACGCUGGCGGCGUGCUUAACACAUGCAAGUCGAACGGAAAGGCCCUGCUUUUGUGGGGUGCUCGAGUGGCGAACGGGUGAGUAACACGGGAGUAACCUGCCCUUGACUGUGGGAUAACGUCAGGAAACUGGGGCUAAUAACGGAUAGGAGCGCCUGCUGCAUGGUGGGGGUUGGAAAGUUUCGGCGGUUGGGGAUGGACUCGCGGCUUAUCAGCUUGUUGGUGGGGUAGUGGCUUACCAAGGCUUUGACGGGUAGCCGGCCUGAGAGGGUGACCGGCCACAUUGGGACUGAGAUACGGCCCAGACGCCUACGGGAGGCAGCAGUGGAGAAUAUUGCACAAUGGGCGGAAGCCUGAUGCAGCAACGCCGCGUGCGGGAUGACGGCCUUCGGGUUGUAAACCGCUUUCGCCUGUGACGAAGCGUGAGUGACGGUAAUGGGUAAAGAAGCACCGGCUAACUACGUG